rnacentral:lncRNA from 1 species
CACAUGCUAAUGUAAAAAGCUGGUUUUUGAUAUAAAUAUGAACUUGAUUGAACAAAACAUGUAUGUAUUGUAUAACAUAAUGUCCUAGGUGUGUCAUCUGAUGAAGAUCAUCAAAGGUUAGUGCUGCAUUUAGCUGUCUUCUGGGUUUUUGUGACAUUAUAUGCUAACUUGAAAAAUGGGUGUCUGAUUAUUUCUGGCUGGGUACUCUGCUGACAUAAUCUAAUGUUUUUCUUUCGUUGUAAAGCCUUUUUGAAAUCGGACAGUAUGGUUAGAUUAACGAGAGUCUUGUCUUUAAAAUGGUGUAAAAUAGUCAUAUGUUUGAGAAAUUGAAGUAAUAGCAUUUCUAAGGUAUUUGAAAAUCGCGCCACGGGAUUACACUGGCUGUUGCGUAGGUGGGACGAUUUCACGGCCGGAUGAAAAACGUACCCAAUUUGAACAGGUUACUACUCUGGCCCAGAAACUAGAAUAUGCAUAUUAUUAGUACAUUUGAUUAUUAGCUUUGGAUAGAAAACACUCUGAAGUUUCUAAAACUGUUUGAAUGGUGUAUGUAAGUACAACAGAACUCAUAUGGCAGGCAAAAACCUGAGAAAAAUACAAGCAGGAAAUGAAAAUAUUGUGGCUGUACUAUUUUCAAGUCAUUGCCAAUGGAACACACAGUGACAAAGGAUUCAUUUUGCACUUCCUAAGGCUUCCACUAGAUGUAAAAUGUCUUUAGAAAGUUGUUUGAGGCGUCUAUGAUGAACAGAGACCGAAUGAGAAGGCUGGGAAGUUGGUAACCCAGGGAAUGACAUCACUUCAUUGGCGCGCAUUCAUGUGAGAUGGGACCUGUGUUCCAAAACGUUUUUCAAGACACAGGAAUGGUCCGGUUGAAAUAUUACUGAAGUUUCAUGUUAAAAUGGCCCUAAAGAUUGAUGCUAUACAACGUUUGACAUGUUUGAACGAACGUAAAUAGAUUUUUCUUUUGACUUUUCGUCGUGACAUUUUCCUCGCGCGUCCUACAUUUUGAGUAGCUUACUGAACGCGCUAACAACAUGGAGUUAUUUGGACAUAAAUUAUGAACUUUAUCGAACAAAACAACAUUUGUUGUGGACCUGGGAUUCCUGAAAGUGCCUUCUGAUGAAGAUUAUUAAAGAGGUAAGUGCAGUCGGGCUGUCUUCCUUCAGUAAUCUGUGGAGAAAAUUGCUGCCCCACAUCUCAAGCACUUAGCCCAGAACAUACCUGUGCUGGCAGUGCCAGAGGACCAACAAUCAGGUCUUAAGAUCUGCCACUCUGCCAGAAGCUGUUAAAUCAGCCAAGCUGAAGAAGCAAGAGCAGCAUCUCCUGCUUGUUCAGAUUGAGUGGUCUAUCUACCAGAAGAUGGUUUCUGACUGCGAGACCACCUGUCAAGACCUGCAGUUGUCUCUGGGGAGCCCUACUGAAGCAGCAAGCAAAGACAUCAGGUUGUAUUACAGAUUUGAUUUUCCUCAACAGGUGCACUCUCCUUUUGACCCUAUGCAGCCAGGGUCCAUCUACUUUUUAACAAGAACAAGUUUGUGCUCUGGUUAUUGUUCCUGGCAGACCAUACACAAGCUCCACCACAGUCUGGACCUUCACUUCCUGAUCACAGGCCACACAAAGUCUUCCCCUGACUGGUUGUUCGGCCUCAUCAAGCAGCACUUCAGAAAGACCUGAGUGAACACUGUGUCAGAGAUGGCUGGUAUGGUGAAGGACAGCACUGUGACAGGGGUUAAAAUCCCACAGCUGGUUGGACUGAAGGAUGUUACGGUGCUGGAAAAAACCUAUGGCUAGCAACCACACCUGACCUGUACUUCAGACCACUGCCACAGAUCAAGCAAUACCAGCACUUCAGCUUUAAUGCUCUGGAGCCUGGUGUUGUUGUCACCAAGGAGCGUUCGGACUCAGUCGGUACCUGCUGCGGAACGCUGACGUCUUUCCUCCUAUAGGUGGUCUGCCUGUACGAGCACCACCUGGACUGGACACAACUAGAUAAACAUAUAUUUUUAAAAGAUCAGGGAGUUUUGCAACGAAGAGGACAUGGACAUCAUAUGCCCUACACCAAAGUCAAGGGCAGGACAGAAACAGGCUCUCCGAAUAUAGGUUCCCUUGUUCAUGCGUGGUGCGGAUGGACCAGCUCAUCACUGGGUGCAAGUUCCCAGUCAUCUGGACUAUCUGCAGUGCCUAGGGCUGUGGCGGUUGCGAGAUUUCAUCAUUCGGUUAUUGUCAAGCAACUACACCUUAACAAUAAAUCCAUGAUUUACUUUAGGCAGGUCUAAAGAAGCAUGAUAUGAAGAAAAUGUAGUAUAGCAUGCUUUAAGUUGUCCUUAUGUUAGGUCCUGAUCUGGCUAUGCCAAAUGGCUGUGGGCUACACUAGUUCAUUUAACAAACAAGAUUUGCUUAGAAUUCAGUGGCAUUAUUUUAUAGUAUGAAGAAUACAAUUGGACAAAGCUGAAUAAAAUAGAAAGGAUAUUUUCUCCAAACGAUUUGAGGGAGCGCGCAAAUUUCUAUUCUGUGUUGAGCGGUUAACAAAGAAAUAGGUAUUCCUAUACGCUUAAUUUAGAAUUAUUAAUGUAACUUUAGUUGUUCUACAAACUUUGGGCUAUAUACAGUAUUUUGAUUUUGAAUACAUUGUAAGGCUGCAUGAUGCGAUUGUAAUGAUUAUAAAUAUAUAUUAUUUUGUUCUUUCUUUACUAGCAUUGACACUUAUAUUUUAUAUUUAUAUUGACACUUUCUAUUUUUGAUAUUGCUACUAUACAAAUAUGCAAGUAACCAUUUCACUGUACCCAUCCACUUAGCUAGACGUUGCUAUGGGGUGAUUAUAGCCUGAUUACAGGUGUGUCUGGAGGUGAUUACGGCCAUGUAACGAUCGUCUGGAAGAGGGGACCAAGAUGCAGCGUGGUAAGUGGUCAUAAUGAUUUUUAAUGAGACACUUCAAAAACAAACAGGGAAAACGAAAGCCAACAGUUCUGCCAGGUGAACACACACAAGACAGAAAAC